rnacentral:rRNA from 1 species
CCUACGGGAGGCAGCAGUGGGGAAUCUUGCGCAAUGGGCGAAAGCCUGACGCAGCAACGCCGCGUGCGGGACGAAGGCCUUCGGGCUGUAAACCGCUUUCAGCAGGAACGAAAAUGACGGUACCUGCAGAAGAAGGAGCGGCCAACUACGUGCCAGCAGCCGCGGUGACACGUAGGCUCCAAGCGUUGUCCGGAUUUAUUGGGCGUAAAGAGCUCGUAGGCGGUCUAAUAAGUCGGGUGUGAAAACUCUGGGCUCACGCGAG